CCACCGUCAUCCUCUGGACCAUCAGCAAGGACAUCACUUGCUACUCCCUCUUCGCCUAGCCCUGCACUCUCACGGUCUAUCUCGGGAUUGAUACAGCUAGAAAGGUUCUUCCUUCUGCGAGUCUCACAUGCCCAAAAAAAUAUACUUAUCGAGGUAUUUGCAGGCACCCAUGGUCAGACGGAUGUGCAAAUACAUGUGGUCCUACCUAGGACGGAA
rnacentral:lncRNA from 1 species